rnacentral:rRNA from 1 species
AUUGAACGCUGGCGGCAGGCUUAACACAUGCAAGUCGAGCGGGGUGAUGGUGCUUGCACUAUCACUUAGCGGCGGACGGGUGAGUAAUGCUUAGGAAUCUGCCUAUUAGUGGGGGACAACAUCUCGAAAGGGAUGCUAAUACCGCAUACGUCCUACGGGAGAAAGCAGGGGAUCACUUGUGCCCUUGCGCUAAUAGAUGAGCCUAAGUCGGAUUAGCUAGUUGGUGGGGUAAAGGCCUACCAAGGCGACGAUCUGUAGCGGGUCUGAGAGGAUGGUCCGCCACACUGGGACUGGGACACGGCCCAGACUCCUACGGGAGGCAGCAGUGUGGAAUAUUUGACAAUGGGGGGAACCCUGAUCCAGCCAUGCCGCGUGUGUGAAGAAGGCCUUAUGGUUGUAAAGCACUUUAAGCGAGGAGGAGGCUCUUUUGGUUAAUACCCAAGAUGAGUGGACGUUACUCGCAGAAUAAGCACCGGCUAACUCUGUGCCAGCCGCCGCGGUAA